GAUAGUCAUCCAUGCCCCCUCCUGUCCUGACCAGACCACCGGAUUGACGAUGCCCUUUCCCUGGAAGCUAUGAGUCCCACAGCACCCUUGGUCAUGAUCUUCAAACAAGCUCACUCUACCAUGUGGUCAGUUUUUAUAUGAGACUUACAGGUAAUUUAAAGGAAGAUUAGCUGUGAACUAACAUCCGCUGCCACACCUCCUCUUUUUGCUGAGGAAGACUCGACCUGAGCUAACAUCCAUGCCCAUCUUCCUCUAUUUUAUAUGUGGGACACCUACCACAGCAUGGCUUGCCAAGCAGUGUGUAGGUCUACAUCUGGGAGCUAAACCAGCAAACCCCAGGCCACCAAAGCAGAACGUGUGAACUUAACUGUUGUGCCAUGAGACUGGCCCCUAAUCAACUCUUGAUCUUGAUCUUUUGUUAGCAGUUUCCUGAAGCCAUCAGUUUCCCUGUUAGAGUCCUGUAAUUUCUUACCUAGUUCAGUUUUAUGAUCUGAAAGUUUAUCAGAAACCUGUAUUUUAGAGUGUCAUAGUGCUUUCCACGAUUCUCUCUGAAGAUGAAACACACUUGCAAAAGUAUCAGAGAAAAACAAUAACUGUCUGCAAAUGACAAAAAACUUAAAAAUGACAAUUGAAGAAACUUGGUUAUUUCUGUGACAUACUACACUUUAAAAUAAUAACUAGAAUUAGGACUGAUAACCGAGAUAGAUCAGAAUUUUGUGAAUGUUAUGUAAUUUUUAAAACACUUAUAUCAAUACAUUUACCCACAAAAUAUCAUAGGUUCCUGUGAAACAAUGCUUACUUAUCCAUUUAACCAUGGUGACAAUUAAAGGCGAAUGCAGAAGAUUAAGUAGCUGUAAGAAAAACCUUAGUACCUGUGAUUAAAGACCUGAUAAACACAAUACAGGAAAUUUGUUUGAUAAAACAUAACAUUCCUACCAUUCUGGUAGACUACUCAAAGAAAACAACUUUUAUAAUCUCUUUAUCUAGAGCAGACUAAAAGUGUAAGAAAAUUAUCCUUUGAAGAGAAGGAAAAAAACCAUAUUUUAAUUUCUCACUAGCAUACUUUUGAUAUUAAAACUCAUUUACUUAAUUAAAUUUAUUGUAAUUUUAGCAAACUUGACCAUGCAAAACUAUCUUCUCAGGGUUCCUCCUCAACAUUCCUUGUAUAAGUUUCUUUUUUACAUUCAGAAUGUGUCCCAUGCCACCC
rnacentral:lncRNA from 1 species